AGUGGAAUUGCUGGGUCAUAUGGUAAUCUAUGUCUAGCUUUUUGAAGAACUGCCAGACUGUUUUCCACAGUGGCUGCACCAUUUUACAUUCCCAUCAGCCAU
rnacentral:pre_miRNA from 1 species